CUAGAGUGUGAGUGUAUGAAAGUGUGUGUGUGGGUGUGGGAGUGUGUGAAAGUGUGUGAGUGUGAGUAUGUAUGUGUGUGUACAGGAGUGUGAGUUGUGGUGCACUGGGUCAUGAUCAGCAAGCUGGCUGGGCAGACCGGGCCCCACAUUCACUUAAGUGAAUGUUGUCUAUGAUCCUGUUGGGAGCUUUCUCAGCUACAACACCUCCUUGCCAGCUCACUGGUUUUGCGUCUUCACAGUGAGGAGAGUUAGAAGUGCGUUUUAAUAUCAUUUCAUCUGCUCCUUCAUUGGUGACCAAGGAGGACGUCUCUAAUAAUGAGUUCAAGGUCAAUCAGGGCAACCCAGUGAGGCCUUGUGUCCAAGCAAAUAUGUAAAAAGAGAGCUGAGGUGACUCAGUGUGAAGGUGUUUUCUGAGGAAGUGUGGGGCUCUGAGUUCAAGUUCCAGUGCCCUCCCCAGAAAGGCAAGCCCAUCUUCUGAAGACUGUUACAUAAUUAAUGACAUUUUAUUGCUGCCGUUGGUAUAACUUUUGGCUUUGCUCUCACUGACAAACACUUUUAGGGUUUUCUAUUAUUUGAGGAAAGGCCAUUGCUUGGAAACCUAACCUGCUCCAGCUCCCUUCAUAGCCAACAGCUGCACUGGGAACUCACGGAGCUAAAUGCCACCACGUGCUACUUCAAAAUGUCUGCUGUUAUGUCACAUGAGUCUAUAUGGUAGGGGAAAGGAAAUAUUCUAAGAAAAAAAGAAUUGUAGAAUUUACUUCAAAACAUUCCAGAGGGGGAAAGAUAAAGAGAAGCUUCUCUCUCUGUACAUAGACAUAUAAGAAUAUAUGAACGCAUAUGUAUUGAAUGAGUCUGCUGAUAGGUGAAAGGGUGUUCAUAUAACUUUUAGGUUUGUACAAAUAUGGUUUUAACAAGGGGGCAUUUGGUCUUGCUCCUAGGCCUUCACCACAAGCCCUUUGAAGUGCAAUAAGCAUAUAGGCCAGAGGUUCAUCACACGAGUCACACAAUGUGACAACCUCUCCUACCCUGUUGUCACUGGAGGCCACACCCCUGCCAACAGGAGCUGAGUGAACACUUCCUGAUCACUUUCUGCGCAGAUAUAUAUUUAUUGAUCAUCUGCUUCAAGUGCUGCAUUUUGGGUAAAGAAGGAGGUGGUGUCCAUCUGCGAUGUGAGGUUGGUCAGUGGGGAACCUAGAAACGGCUCCUCUGCCCUAAGUACGUACACUAGGGGUAAGGAGCUGAGUUGACCAACUGACCCCAUGCAGCUGCGGGAUUAGGUGCUGUAACACAGUGCCAGAUGUGGGCAGGGCCAGGAGCCCCUGAUGGGACAGUGGCUGGCCCAGCCUGGAAGAGGAUAAAUGUGAGGUUGGGCUUGGUACCAAGUGGUCCCAGAUUCUGGAAAUAGACCCAGGGCAGCAGGUUCUCUUCUCAGUUCAGAACCUGAGGUCAACAUGCUUGACCUCUAAGUGCGCAUAGUCUCAUGAAGGCUGAGGAACAUAAAGGCUGACAUAACCAGAGCCUAGAAAGGAACUGAGUCUACCUACCAGGUCCCAAGGUUUGGGCAGAGGCACAUAGAGGAGAGGCAGCAAGGAGGGGUCGCAAAGACAGAGUUCAGACUCAGGAACAUGAGCUAGUGCUGCCAAGAGGAUGGGAACCUGACAUUGUCAGUCCGUAGGACCCUGUGCAUACAGUCUUAUAGUUAGUGACUGCCACUGUCCAAUCCAGGCAUGCCUCAGUUAAUCAGAGCAUGGAGGCCAAAAUGCACAUAGAGACCCACAUACAGGUUUAACCCUGGCUCCCAGGAGGAGGCAUCACCAUUUGGGAAGUUCUAGUCUCACUUGGGAUUCAUGAUCUUGGCCAAAAAGAGGGCAACUUGAGUAUUUGUGUCAAGGAUAAUCAUCAGGAAUGGCCUGUCUAAACUCAAAAUAAAUGGGUUGAAUCUUCCAGACAGUAAUAUGAUUUUCGCUCCUGUGGCAGCUGCUGCUUCUGUGCCUGUCUCAGCCACGUCCAGCACAGCCUUGUGGACCACCUGUAGGAGAAAGACAUCACUCACUGGAGACCAGGGAGGGCAGCAGAGGAGAUUCCUGGAGCAAGCAUCGACUGCUGACCUCAGACACUGCCCAUUCAAGAUUCCCUGUGAUUACAGCCUGUGAUUACACAGAGGAGUCCUCAGUUCCUGCUCUAGCUGAUAUCAUCUUGUGAACAACAACAACAACAAAAA